rnacentral:rRNA from 1 species
UAGGAUCUACCUAGUAGUACGGAAUAAUUGUUGGAAACGACAACUAAUACCGUAUAAGGCCCUACGGGGGAAAAAUUUAUUGCUAUUAGAUGAGCCUAUAUUAGAUUAGCUAGUUGGUGGGGUAAUAGCCUACCAAGGUAAUGAUCUAUAGCUGAUCUGAGAGGAUGAUCAGCCACACUGGAACUGAGAUACGGUCCAGACUCCUACGGGAGGCAGCAGUGGGGAAUAUUGGACAAUGGGCGAAAGCCUGAUCCAGCCAUGCCGCAUGAGUGAAGAAGGCCUUUGGGUUGUAAAGCUCUUUUAGUGAGGAAGAUAAUGACGGUACUCACAGAAGAAGUCCUGGCUAACUCCGUGCCAGCAGCCGCGGUAAUACGGAGAGGGCUAGCGUUAUUCGGAAUUAUUGGGCGUAAAGGGCGCGUAGGCUGGUUAAUAAGUUAAAAGUGAAAUCCCGAGGCUUAACCUUGGAAUUGCUUUUAAAACUAUUAAUCUAGAGAUUGAAAGAGGAUAGGGGAAUUCCUGAUGUAGAGGUAAAAUUCGUAAAUAUUAGGAGGAACACCAGUGGCGAAGGCGUCUAUCUGGUUCAAAUCUGACGCUGAAGCGCGAAGGCGUGGGGAGCAAACAGGAUUAGAUACCCUGGUAGUCCACGCUGUAAACGAUGAAUGUUAAAUAUGGGGAGUUUACUUUCUGUAUUACAGCUAACGCGUUAAACAUUCCGCCUGGGGACUACGGUCGCAAGAUUAAAACUCAAAGGAAUUGACGGGGACCCGCACAAGCGGUGGAGCAUGUGGUUAAUUCGAUGCAAC